GCAGGUGUACUUAUAUAUAUUUUAUUGCUUUUGAAAUUGGAAAUAAAUGGAAUCUGUAUUGCGGAUGAAGCUUUACGAUAGACAACUACGCCACAGUGUAUUUCUUAUACUGUGACUACGCGUAGUGCAAUCAGUGCACGUGUGGGAUUCCGUUGUGAGCCACGGACUGAGGUGGACGUCUGUGGCUCAGUACUCUGAUAGUGAAGAAUGAAGAAGAAGAAGAAGAAGAAGAAGUGUACGCGUGUUCCGUGAUUCUGUACGUCCUCGUAGCUGAUCCGAUCGUAUCAAUCAAUGUCUGAUGACGGAAAAGAUUUUAAUCCAAGGUGUGCUUGAUCUAUGCUGUGACUCAUGUGUGAAGAGAUAAUUUAGCGCCGGAAAAUUGUAUCGGAGUGAUGAGAUUUGCCCGUCAACAUUUCUGCAAGAAGCUAGAGAAUGACGGCUUACCGUUUUAUCGUAGGACACUUUGUCGAGAUGCGAUUAGCAUAAUAUAACUCUUCUGUAUAAUUUUAUAAUGGCAUAAAUAUAACAUUUAUAAAUAUA